rnacentral:rRNA from 1 species
UACGAAGGGGGCUAGCGUUGUUCGGAAUUACUGGGCGUAAAGCGUGCGUAGACGGUUAUGUAAGUCGGGUGUGAAAGCCCCGGGCUCAACCUGGGAAUUGCAUUCGAGACUGCAUAGCUAGGGUGCGGAAGAGGGAAGCGGAAUUUCCGGUGUAGCGGUGAAAUGUGUAGAUAUCGGAAGGAACACCAGUGGCGAAAGCGGCUUCCUGGUCCAGCACCGACGUUCAGGCACGAAAGCGUGGGGAGCAAACAGG